rnacentral:rRNA from 1 species
GAUGAACGCUGGCGGCGUGCCUAACACAGGCAAGUCGAGCGAACAGACCAGUAGCUUGCUCCUCUGACGUUAGCGGCGGACGGGAGAGUAGCACGUGGAUAACCUACCUAUAAGACGGGGAUAACUUCGGGAAACCGGAGCUAAUACCGGACAAGGUAUCGAACCGCAUGGUUCAGUAGUGAAAGACGGUCUUGCUGUCACCUAUAGAUGGAUCCGCGCCGCAUUAGCUCGUUGGUAAGGUAACGGCCUACCAAGGCAACGAUCCGUAGCCGACCUGAGAGGGUGAUCGGCAGCACUGGAACUGAGACACGGGUCAGCCGCCUACGGGAGGCGGCAGUAGCGGAUCUUCCGCAAUGGGCGAAGGCCUGACGGAGCAGCGCCGCGUGAGUGACGGUCUUCGGAUCGUAAAACUCUGUUGUUAGGGAAGAACAAAUGUGUACGUAACUAUGCACGUCUUGACGGUACCUAAUCAGAAAGCCACGGCUAACUACGUG